rnacentral:rRNA from 1 species
AACGAACGCUGGCGGCAUGCCUAACACAUGCAAGUCGAGCGAGACCUUCGGGUCUAGUCGCGCACGGGUGCGUAACGCGUGGGAACCUGCCCUUAGGUUCGGAAUAACUCCCCGAAUGGGGUGCUAAUACCGGAUCUUGUCUUCGGACCAAAGAUUUAUCGCACUUGGAUGGUCCCGCGUUGGAUUAGCUAGUUGGUAGGGUAAAAGGCUACCAAGGCGACGAUCCAUAGCUGGCUUGUGAGGCUGGUCAGCCACACUGGGAUGGAGCCACGGCCCGGACUCCUACGGGAGGCGGCAGUGGGGGAUAUUGGACAGCGGGCUAAAGCCUGAACCACCAAUGCCGCGUGAGUGAUGAAGGCCUUGGGGUUGUAAAGCUCUUUUACCCGUGAUGAUAAUGACGGUACCGAGAGAAUAAGCUCCGGCUAACUCCGUG